rnacentral:rRNA from 1 species
GACGAACGCUGGCGGCGUGCCUAAUACAUGCAAGUCGAACGAAGCUGUUUUAACUGGUGCUUGCACCGACUUAAACAACUGAGUGGCGAACGGGUGAGUAACACGUGGGUAACCUGCCCCAAAGCGGGGGAUAACAUUUGGAAACAGAUGCUAAUACCGCAUAACCACAGAAACCACAUGGUUUCUGUGUCAAAGAUGGUUUCGGCUAUCACUUUAGGAUGGACCCGCGGCGUAUUAGCUAGUUGGUAAGGUAAUGGCUUACCAAGGCAAUGGUACGUAGCCGAACUGAGAGGUUGGUCGGCCACAUUGGGACUGUGACACGGCCCAAACUCCUACGGGAGGCAGCAGUAGGGAAUCUUCCACAGUGGACGAAAGUCUGAUGGAGCAACGCCGCGUGAGUGAAGAAGGUUUUCGGAUCGUAAAACUCUGUUGUCAGAGAAGAACGUGUGCGAGAGUAACUGUUCGUGCAGUGACGGUAUCUGGCCAGAAAGCCACGGCUAACUACGUGCCAGCCGCCGCCGUAA